rnacentral:rRNA from 1 species
GAUGAACGCUGGCGGCGUGCCUAACACAUGCAAGUCGAGCGAAGCGGUUUUAAGGAAGUUUUCGGAUGGAAUUAAAACUGACUGAGCGGCGGACGGGUGAGUAACGCGUGGGUAACCUGCCUCAUACAGGGGGAUAACAGUUAGAAAUGGCUGUUAAUACCGCAUAAGCACACAGCUUCGCAUGGAGCAGUGUGAAAAACUCCGGUGGUAUGAGAUGGACCCGCGUCUGAUUAGCUAGUUGGUAAGGUAACGGCUUACCAAGGCGACGAUCAGUAGCCGACCUGAGAGGGUGACCGGCCACAUUGGGACUGAGACACGGCCCAAACUCCUACGGGAGGCAGCAGUGGGGAAUAUUGCACAAUGGGGGAAACCCUGAUGCAGCGACGCCGCGUGAGUGAAGAAGUAUCUCGGUAUGUAAAGCUCUAUCAGCAGGGAAGAAAAUGACGGUACCUGACUAAGAAGCCCC